rnacentral:lncRNA from 1 species
CAGCAUGUGUCCUCUUAGAAAUCAAUGAAAGAACUGCUCUAGCAAAAUAUUUAAAAUAUUUCUUUCAUCUGUAGAGAACUGAACAGCCAACUUUUAAUAAUCUGACAUAUUCAACUGACUUCAAGUGGUAGCUCAAGCUCUCUUUCCCAUGAAGAAUUCCUAGGAACUGACAGUGCUGUUGAGCACUUUGAUCACAAGGCACAUGCUGCAAGAAUGCUUCAGAUUUCUCACAGCCUGAAGCACAUGCAAUAAAGGGCACCUGAAUGAAGUUCUGCACAGAAUAUGGUGCUCUGUAGUUCUUCAUAAGGG